UACGUAGGGUGCAGGCGUUAAUCGGAAUCACUGGGCGUAAAGCGCACGUAGGCGGAUGUGUCAGUCAGGGGUGAAAUCCCGGAGCUCAACUUCGGAACUGCCCCUUGAUACAGCACGUCUUGAGUCCGGAAGAGGUGGGUGGAAUUCCCCCAAGUAGAGGUGAAAUUCGUAGAUAUGGGGAGGAACACCGAUGGCGAAGGCGGCCACCUGGACGGUAACUGACGCUGAGACGCGAAAGCGUGGGGAGCAAACAGG
rnacentral:rRNA from 1 species